GUCAAAAUGUCUGUGAGUCUAGCUGAUGUUCAUGACAUCUGAAAGAAGGCCACAUUUUGGUCUCUGAAGCCCCUUCCUAAGAUUGGGAGCAAAGUACCUGACUUAGUGUUUGGGUCCAGGAGGAUGGUGGGGGGCUCCCUGGGCAUGCCUCUGUUCUACUGUGGAGGAGGAGAUGCCAUGGGAAAGUAACAGCACCUAGGGUCCUGUUCAACAUGGACAUUAAGGAAAGGUCUGCCUGAACCCCUUCUGCAGUAGCUGGCUUCCAUUGGGUUUGUGGAAGAACUGAGAUUUUUUCCAAAUUCCCAAAAGAGGAGAAGUAAAGGUAGUUCUAAGUAGUUUAUUUUGUGGGCUGUGAGCCAAGUCUAAUCUUGUGGCUUUUGUUCCUUGUCCAGCACUGGCUUCUCUGGACUUUGCACACCUCCAGGAGAAGAACCCAGAAAAUUGAUCAGUUCUAAAAAACCAUGCCCCACUUGUUGGUGACUUUCAGGGAUGUGGCCAUUGAC
rnacentral:lncRNA from 1 species